rnacentral:tRNA from 18 species
GGAGUGGUAGUUCAGUUGGUUAGAAUACCGGCCUGUCACGCCGGUGGUCGCGGGUUCGAGUCCCGUCCACUCCGCCA